AACGAUGAAUGCUAAGUGUUGGAGGUUUCCCCUUCAGUGCUGCAGCUAACGCAUUAAGCAUUCCGCUGGGGAGUACGGCCGCAAGGCUGAAACUCAAAGGAAUUGACGGGGGCCCGCACAAGCGGUGGAGCAUGUGGUUUAAUUCGAAGCUACGCGAAGAACCUUACCAGGUCUUGACAUACUAUGCAAAUCUAAGAGAUUAGACGUUCCCUUCGGGGACAUGGAUACAGGUGGUGCAUGGUUGUCGUCAGCUCGUGUCGUGAGAUGUUGGGUUAAGUCCCGCAACGAGCGCAACCCUUAUUAUCAGUUGCCAGCAUUAAGUUGGGCACUCUGGUGAGACUGCCGGUGACAAACCGGAGGAAGGUGGGGAUGACGUCAAAUCAUCAUGCCCCUUAUGACCUGGGCUACACACGUGCUACAAUGGAUGGUACAACGAGUUGCGAACUCGCGAGAGUAAGCUAAUCUCUUAAAGCCAUUCUCAGUUCGGAUUGUAGGCUGCAACUCGCCUACAUGAAGUCGGAAUCGCUAGUAAUCGCGGAUCAGCAUGCCGCGGUGAAUACGUUCCCGGGCCUUGUACACACCGCCCGUCACACCAUGAGAGUUUGUAACACCCAAAGUCGGUGGGGUAACCUUUAGGAACCAGCCGCCUAAGGUGGGACAGAUGAUUAGGGUGAAGUCGUAACAAGGUAACCA
rnacentral:rRNA from 1 species